AAAAGAAAAAGAUAGAAAUAUAAAAAAGAAAUAAUGGUGUGUUAUUUUUUUUUUCCUAAAUAUAAUGAAAGAAAAGUUGAACAAGGUUCCGUGGUGACCAGCGAGUGAUCAUUCCGAGUUUCAACUCCCACACCCCUGUAACAUACCUAUCGUUCUUCGGCGGAUCCGCCCCGGCGCCCUUGGGCCCGGAUCAGGCGCCCGCCGGAGACCCCAAAAUCUAGUAUUUCUUUAGUAUCUUCUGAGUAAUCAAGCAAAUAAAUUAAAACUAUCAACAACGGAUCUAUUGGUUCUGGCAUCGAUGAAGAACGCAGAGAAAUGCGAUAAGUAAUGUGAAUUGCAGAAUUCCGUGAAUCAUCGAAUCUUUGAACGCACAUUGCGCCCGCCAGUAUUCUGGCGGGCAUGCCUGUUCGAGCGUCAUUUCAACCCUCAAGCCCCCGGGCUUGGUGUUGGGGCUCGGCCCGUCCCUCGUGGCGCGCUGUCCCCGAAAUACAGUGGCGGUCACGCUGUACUCCUCUGCGUAGUAAUCCAACCUCGCAAGGGGACAAAGCCUGGCCACGCCGUUAAACCCCCCACUUCCGAAGGUGACCUCGAUCAUGUAGGAUCCAAGUCCC
rnacentral:rRNA from 1 species